UACGUAGGGGGCAAGCGUUGUCCGGAAUCAUUGGGCGUAAAGCGCGUGUAGGCGGCCCGAUAAGUCCGCUGUGAAAGUCCAGGGCUCAACCCUGGAAUGCCGGUGGAUACUGUCGGGCUCGAGUCCGGAAGAGGCGAGUGGAAUUCCUGGUGUAGCGGUGAAAUGCGCAGAUAUCAGGAGGAACACCAAUGGCGAAGGCAGCACUCUGGGACGUGACUGACGCUGAGACGCGAAAGCGUGGGGAGCAAACAGG
rnacentral:rRNA from 1 species